AGUGAACGCUGGCGGUAGGCCUAACACAUGCAAGUCGAACGGCAGCACAGUAAGAGCUUGCUCUUACGGGUGGCGAGUGGCGGACGGGUGAGGAAUACAUCGGAAUCUACUUUUUCGUGGGGGAUAACGUAGGGAAACUUACGCUAAUACCGCAUACGACCUACGGGUGAAAGCAGGGGAUAUUCGGACCUUGCGCGAUUGGAUGAGCCGAUGUCGGAUUUGCUAGUUGGCGGGGUAAAGGCCCACCAAGGCGACGAUCCGUAGCUGGUCUGAGAGGAUGAUAGGCCACACUGGAACUUAGCCACGGUCCAGACUACUACGGGAGGCAGCAGUGGGGAAUAUUGGACAAUGGGCGCAAGCAUUAUCCAGCCAUACCGCGUGGGUGAAGAAGGCCUUCGGGUUGUAAAGCCCUUUUGUUGGGAGAGAAAAGCAGCAGGUUAAUACCCCGCUGUUCUGACGGUACCCAAAGAAUAAGCACCGGCUAACUUCGUG
rnacentral:rRNA from 1 species